UACGGAAGGCAGCAGUGGGGAAUAUUGCACAAUGGGCGAAAGCCUGAUGCAGCUAUGCCGCGUGUAUGAAGAAGGCCUUAGGGUUGUAAAGUACUUUCAUCGGGGAGGAAAAAACAAAACUAAUAAUUUUAUUUCUUGACGUUACCCGAAAAAGAAGCACCGGCUAACUCCGUGCCAGCAGCCGCGGUAAUACGGAGGGUGCUAGCGUUAAUCAGAAUUACUGGGCGUAAAGAGCACGUAGGUGGUUUUUUUAAGUCAGAUGUGAAAUCCCUGGGCUUAACCUAGGAACUGCAUUUUGAAACUGAAAUACUAGAGUAUCGUAGAGGGAGGUAGAAUUCUAGGUGUAGCGGUGAAAUGCGUAGAUAUCUGGAGGAAUACCUGUGGCGAAAGCGGCCUCCUAAACGAAUACUGACACUGAGUGCGAAAGCGUGGGGAGCAAACAGGGAUUAGGAAUACC
rnacentral:rRNA from 1 species